GUAAAAAGUUGGUUUAUUUGUCAUGUUUUCACUGUAUCUCAGUUAAGCCAUUUUGGUGUCCACAGUGACAGUCCUCUUGGAAGCCAGGUCAUCCCCACUCACCCACUAAUAGUGACCAUCAACCACAAGCCACCAGGUCCAGCUGACAGCUCCAGCAGCAGAGGAGGGGCAGUGGGAAGACCCUGUGGACUGGGAGGGCACCAGGCUCCUCUGCUCAGGACUGGGUCUAGACAAGGCCACGUGUGAUAUGGUGUGCGCCCUGGGCUGUGUGCAAGGGAUCUGGCCCUGAUGCUGACCUGUGUCGGGGCAAGUGGCUGUUGUCCCUUGAUUGCCAUUUGCUGGCAAGCAUAGCAGCAAGAGUCCCUAGGAGCCCCGGGUCAGGGAGGCGUUCUGCUCCUUCCACUGAGGUGUGGAGGACCCUGGUGUCCUGCCGCUGGCAGGCUGUGCCCACGCGGCUGCACACCCACCAGAGCCCCUGCCCCCUUGUGUGAAAAACCGGACCCUCUGUGUCUUAAGGUGAGCUGACAAGCGCUAAUUGCUCUGACCUC
rnacentral:lncRNA from 1 species